rnacentral:rRNA from 1 species
AAAUUGAAGAGUUUGAUCAUGGCUCAGAUUGAACGCUGGCGGCAGGCCUAACACAUGCAAGUCGAACGGUAACAGGAAACAGCUUGCUGUUUCGCUGACGAGUGGCGGACGGGUGAGUAAUGUCUGGGAAACUGCCUGAUGGAGGGGGAUAACUACUGGAAACGGUAGCUAAUACCGCAUAAUGUCGCAAGACUAAAGAGGGGGACCUUCGGGCCUCUUGCCAUCGGAUGUGCCCAGAUGGGAUUAGCUAGUAGGUGGGGUAACGGCUCACCUAGGCGACGAUCCCUAGCUGGUCUGAGAGGAUGACCAGCCACACUGGAACUGAGACACGGUCCAGACUCCUACGGGAGGCAGCAGUGGGGAAUAUUGCACAAUGGGCGCAAGCCUGAUGCAGCCAUGCCGCGUGUAUGAAGAAGGCCUUCGGGUUGUAAAGUACUUUCAGCGGGGAGGAAGGGAGUAAAGUUAAUACCUUUACUCAUUGACGUUACCCGCAGAAGAAGCACCGGCUAACUCCGU